rnacentral:rRNA from 1 species
AUACAGAGGGUGCGAGCGUUAAUCGGAAUUACUGGGCGUAAAGCGUACGUAGGCGGUUCGUUAAGUUAGAUGUGAAAGCCCCGGGCUUAACCUGGGAACUGCAUUUAAAACUGGCGAACUAGAGUUGAGUAGAGGGGAGUGGAAUUUCAGGUGUAGCGGUGAAAUGCGUAGAGAUCUGAAGGAACACCAGUGGCGAAGGCGACUCCCUGGACUCGAACUGACGCUGAGGUACGAAAGCGUGGGUAGCAAACGGGAUUAGAAACCCCAGUAGUCC